rnacentral:rRNA from 1 species
UACGUAGGGGGCUAGCGUUGUCCGGAAUCAUUGGGCGUAAAGCGCGUGUAGGCGGCCCGGUAAGUCCGCUGUGAAAGUCGGGGGCUCAACCCUCGGAUGCCGGUGGAUACUGUCGGGCUAGAGUACGGAAGAGGCGAGUGGAACUCCUGGUGUAGCGGUGGAAUGCGCAGAUAUCAGGAAGAACACCAACGGCGAAGGCAGCUCGCUGGGACGGAACUGACGCUAAGGCGCGAAAGCGUGGGGAGCGAACAGG